rnacentral:rRNA from 1 species
AUGAAACCUUCGGGAGUGAUCUUUUUGGAACAAAUGCAAUCCAGGAGACUUGGAGUGGACGUCAAGAAGCAGCCGAGGCGGCCACGAGGCAGGAGGGCGCGCCCCCACCCUCGUGGGCCCCUCGUGGCUCCUUUGACCGACCUCCUUCGCCUAUAUAUAUCUACGUACCCCGAAAACAUCCAGGAGCACCACGAAACCCUAUUUCCACCGCCGCAACCUUCUGUACCCGUGAGAUCCCAUCUUGGACCCUUUUCUGGCGCUCCGCCGGAGGGGGAAUCAAUCAUGGAGGGCUUCUACAUCAACACCAUAGCCUCUCCGAUGAGUUGUGAGUAG